rnacentral:rRNA from 1 species
ACGAACGCUGGCGGCGUGCUUAACACAUGCCAGUCGAACGCUGAAGCUUGGUGCUUGCACUGGGUGGAUGAGUGGCGAACGGGUGAGUAAUACGUGAGUAACCUGCCCUUGACUCUGGGAUAAGCCUGGGAAACUGGGUCUAAUACUGGAUACGACAUGUCACCGCAUGGUGGUGUGUGGUAAGGGUUUUACUGGUUUUGGAUGGGCUCACGGCCUAUCAGCUUGUUGGUGGGGUAAUGGCUCACCAAGGCGACGACGGGUAGCCGGCCUGAGAGGGUGACCGGCCACACUGGGACUGAGACACGGCCCAGACUCCUACGGGAGGCAGCAGUGGGGAAUAUUGCACAAUGGGCGGAAGCCUGAUGCAGCGACGCCGCGUGAGGGAUGACGGCCUUCGGGUUGUAAACCUCUUUCAGCACGGAAGAAGCGAAAGUGACGGUACGUGCAGAAGAAGCGCCGGCUAACUACGUG